rnacentral:rRNA from 1 species
GACGAACGCUGGCGGCGUGCUUAACACAUGCAAGUCGAACGAUGAAAGAGAAUCCGAUCUCUUCGGAGUGAAGAAUCUCUGGAUUAGUGGCGGACGGGUGAGUAACGCGAGAGCAAUCUGCCUUACACAAAGGGAUAGCCUCGGGAAACCGGGAUUAAUACCAUAUGAUAUCUAUUAACCGCAUGGUUUAUAGAUUAAAGAAUUUCGGUGUAAGAUGAGCUCGCGUCCCAUUAAUUAGUUGGUGAGGGUAACGGCCCACCAAAAUAGCGAUGGGUAGCCGAUCUAAGAGGAUGACCGGCCACAUUGGAACUGAGAAACGGUCCAAACUCCUACGGGAGGCAGCAGUGGGGAAUAUUGCGCAAUGGGGGAAACCCUGAUGCAGCGACGCCGCGUGAGCGAUGAAGGCUUUCGAGUCGUAAAGCUCUGUCCUAUGGGAAGAUAAUG